AUGGGGAAGAGCGACAGCUCAGUGGUAGAGCAUUUGUUUUGCAUGCAGAAAGUCACAGGUUCAAUCCUCGGUAUCUCUAUG